rnacentral:rRNA from 1 species
AUACGUAGGUGGCAAGCGUUGUCCGGAAUUAUUGGGCGUAAAGCGCAUGUAGGCGGUGCCUUAAGUCUGUCGUGAAACUGCGGGGCCUAACCCCGUAUGGCGAUGGAAACUGGGGUACUUGAGUGCAGGAGAGGAAAGGGGAACUCCCAGUGUAGCGGUGAAAUGCGUAGAUAUUGGGAAGAACACCGGUGGCGAAGGCGCCUUUCUGGACUGUGUCUGACGCUGAGAUGCGAAAGCCAGGGUAGCGAACGGGAUUAGAUACCCCGGUAGUCCUGGCCGUAAACGAUGGGUACUAGGUGUGGGAGGUAUCGACCCCUUCCGUGCCGGAGUUAACGCAAUAAGUACCCCACCUGGGGAGUACGGCCGCAAGGCUUAAACUCAAAUGAAUUGACGGGG